rnacentral:misc_RNA from 1 species
GAUGAAGAACGUAGCGAAAUGCGAUACGUAAUGUGAAUUGCAGAAUUCAGUGAAUCAUCGAAUCUUUGAACGCAUAUUGCGCUCUCUGGUAUUCCGGAGAGCAUGCUUGUUUGAGUAUCAGUAAACACCUCAACUUCCAUAUCUUUUUUGAAAUGGGAGUUGGACUUGAGUGAUCCCAACGCUUUUCCUCACCGAAAAGUGGCGGGUUACUUGAAAUGCAGGUGCAGCUGGACUUUUCUCUGAGCUAUAAGCAUAUCUAUUUAGUCUGCCUAAAAAACAGAUUAUUACCUUUGCUGCAGCUAACAUAAAGGAGAUUAGUUCUUGUGCUGACUGAUGCAGGAUUCACAAAGACAGCUUCAGCCGACUUUGUAAACUCGAUCUCAAAUCAAGUAAGACUACCCGCUGAACUUAAGCAUAUCAAUAAGCGGAGGA